rnacentral:rRNA from 1 species
UACGGGGGGAGCAAGCGUUGUUUCAGGAUUUACUGGGCGUAAAGGGCGCGUGGUGGCGUGACAAGUCACUUGAUGAAAUCUCUGAGCUUAACUCCAGAACGGCCAAGGUGAAACUGUUGUGCUAGAGUGCAGGAAAGGGGCAAUCGGGUAAUUCUCGGUGUGAGCGGUGAAAUGACGUAGAUUAUCGAGAGGAACACCUGCGGCGAAGGCGGGGUUGCUGGGCUGACACUGACGCUGAGGCGCGAAAGCUAGGGGGAGCGAAACGG